rnacentral:lncRNA from 1 species
UUUUCUAUGAUGUCAUCUCCUCUCUUUUAUUCUGAGACAUUUUUGUUGUCUGGUUUAUUUUUUUCUUCCUCAAGGAUGGAAAUGGUCUGGAGAGCCUCCCUUGCAUAUCCACAGACACACUUGAGAGUGGUUCUGUUUAUAAUCAUUUCCUCCUGCAUAAACAUCAGUGGCUAGUGUUUCACAUUCAUCUUUUCUUCCCAUUCCAUCAAUUCCACCAAUGCAGGCCUCUCUCUCCCACUCACACAUUCAGGGCAUGUAUAAAGCAGGUGCCUCAGUACUGAAAACUUUGAGUUUUGAUUUCUUAGCUUCCUCAAUAUUCAGUGUGUUACCCAGUAAGGGGGAGAAAUGUGGCUGAAAAUCAGCAAUUCCUAAAGAGAUGUACAUAUAAGAAUAGACAGAAAAUCAGAUAUGAACUUGCAGUGCAAUAUGCUGACAUUUGAGGCAAAAUCUGCCCUGAAUAUGUAUGGACACCGUGUUACGAUUCCGAGAGUUGAUAAUGCUUCUUUCUACAAUGCCGCUGAGGAUUUACCUAAAACACUUUCCCCAGUUCAGCUCAAUAAUGCCUCUCAUCCCUUUCCUUUUAAAAAUAUUUUCCAUUUAAGCCGCUUAGUAAAAUACCUCAUGAUGUUCAACAGUGAAAGUAUUCAAGUUGCUUCUUAUUCUAGUUAGCGUCCUUUUGUCACUUCAUCCCUCAUUCUGAAUGCUUCCCGCAAAGUGUCUUCAGCAAAUCAAAGGAAAUUUUGGGAUGCAAUUUUUCACCCUCAGAGCCCCACGUCUUUCUGUAACACUUUAAGGGUCACCUGGUGAAUAACACUGAUCAUAUUCUAUGCAUGAAAGAACAUUCACUGAACACAUUCUUUGUUUCCCAGAAAACAUCAAAGAUUUAACGCUACCAAGCAUUCUGUACUCUGGGCCAUCUGAAUCAGUAUGAUGCUCCUAUAUUCAGGAGAGCUUUCUGCAAAUGAAUAACCUAUUUAUAAACAGCAUUACAUACUCUACAUAAUGUUAGUUCGCCCUUCAUAUCAAUUUGGGCUAAGAGUGCAUGAAAACGCCUACACAUCACCAUCAUAAUUCCCUCCCUGCCUGCCACUCUGACCCUUAGCCAUCAUGUCACCUCUUAGCCUCUUUUUCUCUCUUGCCAGUGAGAGAGGCAAAAGCAUUUGCACCUAGUGCCAGUUCAGGGUGAGUUAACCAGUCAGCCAUCUUUAAAUUAUUAUGGAUAACUUAAAUCCCUGCUACCAGAGAAGCCUGAAAUGUCACUACAAACAUUAGUAUACAUCUCACUCUCACAUUGCUUUCGGUCUAGCAGGAAAUACAGACAGGUGAGCAAAUCAUUACAAAGCCCUGUUAGAAAUGCUAAAGGAGAUACACGAUGUGUCACGGACUCAUCAAGAAAUGAAUGGAUUGGAAUUCACGUUGUGGCUCAGUGGGAACAAACCCAACUAGCAUCCCUGAGGACACGGGUUCAGUACCUGGCUCUGCUCAGUAGGUUAGGGAUCCAGCAUUGCCACGAGCUGCAGGGUAGAUCUCAGAUGUGGCUUGGAUACUGUGUUGCUGUGGCUGUAGUAUAGGCUAGAAGCUGCAGCUCCGAUUAGACCCCUAACUUGGGAACUUCCAUGUGCCACAGGCACGGCCCUGAAAAGACAACAAGAAAAGAAUGCUUUUCCUAAUUGGAAAGCAGAGGAAGUGAUACAAGGGCAAACUCCAGGGGAGAGGAGAAGAUAGAAAAGAAUGUAUAGCAUUUCCACAGAUACAUCCCACUGUCUCCCUCGGAGUUUUAGCUUUCCAUAAGCAUGGAAUACAAAAUAUUCUUUCCAGAAUCAGGACCUUUAUUUAUGACCCGACCUAGAAAAGGCAUUGCUGAGAAAUACAGGCUUAACACCUCUGCAUUACUUAUCUGGGCUAAAAUGAGUCAGUGUUUAUCUGUAGUCGGGAAGACUGAGGGUCUGGAAUUUCUGCCCUAAAACCUUGGACACAUUACUGCACAUCACUGGAAGAUGCCAGAGAAGGUAGUAUCUAAAUAUAAUUAGAUGCCAAAGAGGAAGCAUAGACUCUGGGGUCAUAAAAACCUGUGUUCAAAUUCUUGCUUAGCUAUCAACUAGGGAAAUGACAUGCACACAGCUCCCCACAACCAGAAAAAAAGUACUAAAAAAAAAAUCUGUGCUACAAAGUAGGAAUGAGAAUGGAAUCCUGCUCAGGAAGCACUUGGAGGAGCAUGUGGCAUGUAUGUCAGCUACUAUUUGGGAAGUUUGGUUAUUACUACACGGAGCAGUAGCAGCAUCAGUAGUAGCAACAGCAGAGGAGAAGGAAGGUGAGGAGUAAUAGCAGUGCUGGUGCCAAGACCAGCUGACUUUUCCAGGAUUCUGUGAGCCUAUGCAUCUUCUUGAUAAGAUUUGAUUUACAACAAAAAUGGUUUUUUUUUUUUUUUUAGCUCUAAUAGUAAUUCUGUUACCUAGGAUGUUUCUACUGGGAAAAAUAAAAACUGAGGAGAGAACAAAUUUCCUCCAACCACCAGAGUGAAAAAGACAUGCUUGGCUCAGGAGUAUUUAUAAUCAUGAUUCUGAUUAUUCUAAGACAGAAUCCAGGAUUUUCCCCAAUUAUCCCAACCCGUGAUUCCAAAUUCAUCCCUCCAAUGAUUUCCAGGUAUAUCAAGGAAUGUCAGUCUGAUUAAGGUGGGUUUUACUGUACCUUGCCCAGUGUGGCAAAGGACACCAGGAUUCUUAAGUGCCUUAGCAGAGUCUCCACCUCCCAGGCAACUAGAAGGCAUAUCCUGCAAGUCUUUGUGACAGGCAGUGCACAGCCAUACCAUACACCGAUGACAGAUAGGGGUUGUCACUGCUGACAGCCAGCCAGCAGCCUCAAGCAAACAAGCAGUGGAUGAAAGACAUGAGACUGAAAAAUAAACCUGUUGUCUUGGACUGACAGACGCUGUACAUUUUCAGGGCUUUGUCGAGAAAGGCAUGGUAUGUUUGCAAGCAUCAGGUGGUUAUUUGUCAUACAUGAAAACCUUUAUUUCUAGGAAAACUCUGAGCUCAGUAGAGAUGGUAAGACACUAUGAGUUAAUAACCCACACUGACGUCUACAGGCCAACCACCCAGUUCCACCCAUACAUGGCAUGCAUUAAUGGGGCAUUAAAUCUAUGUGUCAGACAUGGUACUUAAUACUUCACAAAAAAUGUCCGUGUUUCAUCUUUCUUACACCAUCAUGGGGCUUUACAGGUUGAGUGCCCUGGUCUAACCAGGAUCUAUACUUUACUAGCUUCUGUGAUUUGGGGUCAGUUAAUUCUCUCUUUUAACCCACAGUUUGCUCAUCUCUAAAUUGGGAGAAAUAAUAGUAUUGUUUUAUAGCCGCUGUAGAGAAAUAGGAUGGACCUUUAUCCAAAUUUGGUUCAGAUGUUGAGACUGAAGAUGACACACACAGACAAGCAAAACAAAUCAAAACGAAAAUAUGAAAAUAUUUAUUACUCAUGGAAUGAGUCUUUCUGAGGAGGGCAGAGCAGGUUUGCCUAACUGGUCCUAAAAUGGCUUGACAGAUCAAGGAAGGGAGAAUCAGUUGGAGUUUUUAUGGUGGUGACAAAGUGGGGCUGGGGUAUUCCUGCCAUUGCAAAUUCCUCUUGGCAAGGGAGAAAGUGAACUAUGUGGGGCAGAAGAAGAGGAAGCAAAGCUUAAAAGCUAUUACCAGUCAAACCUCAAAAAAUGGCAUCGGUGUCUUUAUGACAAAUGUCUACCUUCAGAGCUUCCUUAUGACGAUUCAUUGAAAUAAUUAAUGUUUAACCCUUGAUGUCCUCUCAGGCACAAAUCAACUAGUCAAUGCAUGUGACCUGCAUAUUGGUGGAGGCAAAAAUCAUCCUCACUUUACAGAUUAAACAACUGAGGCUCAAAAAGUAACAUGACGUAAGUUGCUCAGCUGACAAGCAGAAGAAUUCAAACUCCAACUCAGCUCUUAGGAAUCCUAAACAAAGCAAUACAAAUAAAAUACAAAUAAAUGCUCAUCAGAACACCAGCAUUGCCUGUAUCAAAGACAAGAAGAAAAUAGCAGUUCAGUAGUUGAUUCAGUAAUUUCACUAUUAGAGCAUUUUCUACAUAUUUGUGCCAACACUGGGCAGUGUUUCAAUUGAAGCUUUGCAGUAGGUACUGUGGCUUGGGUCUUGAUACUUUUGAUUACACUGAGUGAAUUAGGCUUGCUGUAUUUAGUAACUAAAAAUACGAAACAGCAACACCUGAAUUUUGGGAAAAAAAUGAUUAGAUUUUUAGUAUAAGUUUAUGUCAUGCAAUCUGGGAUCAGUGACAUAUUGCCUUGUCUGGUGAUAUCACUGGCAGAGAUUAAUAUAAAUCGUCCAUAUCCUCUGUUUUUUCCCAAUUUCCUUUUCACAUGAAGAUGUUACUCUUUGAAGCAAUUAGUAGUGACUCCUAAUGUAGCUAUACAUUAAAACUUACAAAUGUUAAUAUCCAUGUACUUCCAGAUGUUCCUAAUGUUUUAUUGCUUGUUUCCACUUUGGAGCAGACAAGCUCAUCCCUCCAUGCCUACACCAAAAGUAAACAGAAUUGGUAGUCAUCCAGGGAGCUGGCUCCAACCAAAUCUAUGAUAAUUGAGGAACCACAUAAUUUUUAGUCUCAAAAGACAAACGGAUGAUUCUUCUUUUUUUUCCUCAGUGGCACAGUGUCUUACAUUUUGUAAUAACUAAAAAAAGCUAUCUAGGGAUGGAGCAAAAUGGGGAAUUAAAUGCAAAUGCUUAGACUCUGAUGAGGCUAUUCCUCCACACGGUCUGAUUUCUUAGCCUGGAGUCAAAGCCUCUUUCGAAAGGAAUAUGCAUGACUCUGGGAUUCAAUCCAGCCUGGCAUCAAAAAUCCUUCCGUGUGGCUUUUCUCAGCUGC